rnacentral:rRNA from 1 species
AUGAACGCUAGCUACAGGCUUAACACAUGCAAGUCGAGGGGCAGCAUUUUAGUUUGCUUGCAAACUAAAGAUGGCGACCGGCGCACGGGUGAGUAACACGUAUCCAACCUGCCGAUAACUCGGGGAUAGCCUUUCGAAAGAAAGAUUAAUAUCCGAUGGUAUAUUAAAACCGCAUGGUUUUACUAUUAAAGAAUUUCGGUUAUCGAUGGGGAUGCGUUCCAUUAGUUUGUUGGCGGGGUAACGGCCCACCAAGACAACGAUGGAUAGGGGUUCUGAGAGGAAGGUCCCCCACAUUGGAACUGAGACACGGUCCAAACUCCUACGGGAGGCAGCAGUGAGGAAUAUUGGUCAAUGGGCGAGAGCCUGAACCAGCCAAGUAGCGUGAAGGAUGAAGGCUCUAUGGGUCGUAAACUUCUUUUAUAUGGGAAUAAAGUAUUCCACGUGUGGAAUUUUGUAUGUACCAUAUGAAUAAGGAUCGGCUAACUCCGUGCCAGCAGCCGCGGUAAUACGGAGGAUCCGAGCGUUAUCCGGAUUUAUUGGGUUUAAAGGGAGCGUAGGUGGAUUGUUAAGUCAGUUGUGAAAGUUUGCGGCUCAACCGUAAAAUUGCAGUUGAAACUGGCAGUCUUGAGUACAGUAGAGGUGGGCGGAAUUCGUGGUGUAGCGGUGAAAUGCUUAGAUAUCACGAAGAACUCCGAUUGCGAAGGCAGCUCACUAGACUGUCACUGACACUGAUGCUCGAAAGUGUGGGUAUCAAACAGGAUUAGAUACCCUGGUAGUCCACACAGUAAACGAUGAAUACUCGCUGUUUGCGAUAUACAGUAAGCGGCCAAGCGAAAGCAUUAAGUAUUCCACCUGGGGAGUACGCCGGCAACGGUGAAACUCAAAGGAAUUGACGGGGGCCCGCACAAGCGGAGGAACAUGUGGUUUAAUUCGAUGAUACGCGAGGAACCUUACCCGGGCUUAAAUUGCAACAGAAUAUAUUGGAAACAGUAUAGCCGUAAGGCUGUUGUGAAGGUUCUGCAUGGUUGUCGUCAGCUCGUGCCGUGAGGUGUCGGCUUAAGUGCCAUAACGAGCGCAACCCUUAUCGAUAGUUACCAUCAGGUUAUGCUGGGGACUCUGUCGAGACUGCCGUCGUAAGAUGUGAGGAAGGUGGGGAUGACGUCAAAUCAGCACGGCCCUUACGUCCGGGGCUACACACGUGUUACAAUGGGGGGUACAGAAGGCGGCUACCUGGUGACAGGAUGCUAAUCCCAAAAACCUCUCUCAGUUCGGAUCGAAGUCUGCAACCCGACUUCGUGAAGCUGGAUUCGCUAGUAAUCGCGCAUCAGCCAUGGCGCGGUGAAUACGUUCCCGGGCCUUGUACACACCGCCCGUCAAGCCAUGAAAGCCGGGGGUACCUGAAGUACGUAACCGCAAGGAGCGUCCUAGGGUAAAACUGGUAAUUGGGGCU